AGUGAACGCUGGCGGUAGGCCUAACACAUGCAAGUCGAACGGCAGCACAGUAAGAGCUUGCUCUUACGGGUGGCGGGUGGCGGACGGGUGAGGAAUACAUCGGGAUCUACUUUUUCGUGGGGGAUAACGUAGGGAAACUUACGCUAAUACCGCAUACGACCUACGGGUGAAAGCAGGGGAUCUUCGGACCUUGCGCGAUUGAAUGAGCCGAUGUCGGAUUAGCUAGUUGGCGGGGUAAAGUCCCACCAAGGCGACGAUCCGUAGCUGGUCUGAGAGGAUGAUCAGCCACACUGGAACUGAGACACGGUCCAGACUCCUACGGGAGGCAGCAGUGGGGAAUAUUGGACAAUGGGCGCAAGCCUGAUCCAGCCAUACUGCGUGGGUGAAGAAGGCCUUCGGGUUGUAAAGCCCUUUUGUUGGGAAAGAAAAGCAGCAGGUUAAUACCCCGCUGUUCUGACGGUACCCAAAGAAUAAGCACCGGCUAACUUCGUG
rnacentral:rRNA from 1 species